rnacentral:rRNA from 1 species
AACGUAGGUGGCGAGCGUUAUCCGGAUUUACUGGGCGUAAAGGGCUCGUAGGCGGCCAACUAAGUCAGACGUGAAAUCCCUCGGCUUAACCGGGGAACUGCGUCUGAUACUGGAUGGCUUGAGGUUGGGAGAGGGAUGCGGAAUUCCAGGUGUAGCGGUGAAAUGCGUAGAUAUCUGGAGGAACACCGGUGGCGAAGGCGGCAUCCUGGACCAAUUCUGACGCUGAGGAGCGAAAGCCAGGAGAGCAAACGGG